UUUUUUUUUUUUUUUUUUUUUAGAAUAAUGAAUCCAAGGCUCUUUGCUAAGAGUGGAGGGACCGAAGGGGAAGGGCCUCAGGAGAUGAAAUUUUGAGAAACACGAAUAUACUCAUCUCCUGGGCCUACUGUAAACAAAACACUGAUAAACUGGGUAGCUUAAAACACAGAAGAUUAUCUUCUCAUAGAUCCGGAGGCUGAAAGUCCAAAAUCAGGGUAUCGGCUGGUCUGUGUUCCCUCUGAAGGUUCUAGGAGACGGUUCUCCCUCGCCUCUUCCCAAUUUCUGGUGGCGGCUGGCAAGCCUUGGUGUCCCUUGGCUUGUGGAUGCAUCACUCUGGUCCUUGCCUCUAUCACCACCUGGCCUUCUUCCUUCCUGUGCUGUGUGUUGUCACCUGGACUUCUUAUAAGGACACCAGUCCUGGGGUUCAGAGCCCAGCCUAAUUCGGUCUGAUCUCAUUUUACUUGCUUACAUCUGCAAAGAUCUUUUCAAAUAAAGCCACAGGUACCAGGGGUUAGGGUUUGAAUAAAUCUCUCUGGGGACAGGCUUCCACCCACUAGAAUGAAAAAGCUGAAAAAGAGCUGUAGAGAAUGAGACCCACGUGCUGGCACCCCCUGCCCCUGUUCAGGGCCCUCAGAGAUUAGCAGACAGUGUCCAGCAGCACUGGCUCUUUCCAGCUGGCUCCUCUCUGUUGACCAGCAUCCAGCAACCUCGGGCCAAACUGUGCCACGCCAGCCUCUCCCAUGUCAGGGUGGAGUCCCUCCCACCAGGAACAAAGACUUCUGCCCUCUCCUGACCUCUCCUUUCCAUCUCAGUCUCAGUCUCUGCAUCCUACUCUGCCCACGACACAUCCAAACCCCUGCAGACAGAAGCUGCCGUGCCAGCGUUGACAGCACCAGGGCUGUACCAGGAGAGGGACCGCUUGCUAUAUCCCCACUGUUUUGUUCAGAGUUCCAGUGAGCAGAGUCUUGGGAUUUUGACAAAGGAUUAAAGGAGUAAACCUGGCUCCCGAUUUUUUGACCUCCUGGGAGAGGCCCUUUCUGUCCCUUUCCAGUAUGUCAGGGACAGAUUUGUUCUGUCCAGGCCAAGCUGGGCUGCCUGCUGGACCCCAAGCCUGGGGAGUCCUUGCUGCUGCUUGGCCCCGCUGGUGCAGGGCUCCAGAGGCGUUUGCUUUGGAGGCCAAGGUGAAAAUGUAAACACGGCAAGGCAAGCCCGCCACAGCCGUGCUGGGACCUCCUCCAGGGAGGAAGGCUUGCUCACGGCUUGGCCAGGCUCCCAAGCAUCAUGUACAGCAACCCUGAGCUCCAACUUCGACAGCUUGGGUGGGUCCUCGAAUGACCUUCCAUCUCUUGUCUGCCCAUCUGCGAGGACCGUUUCUUUCCAAACAACAUUCCUGUGAUAAAAUCGGUCACACACUGUAAACGUCAAGCAGCCAGGAACAUUCUCCAGCGCAACGGGAUUCUGAUAAAGCGGUCUGAUUUUGCAAAAGCUUCUAGCGUGGAAAAUCCUCCCCAGAGCAGGCAGGGAAAUUCCUGGGAUGCCAGGACACCAGGCAGAGUGGCCGAGGCCCUCAGGAAGGUGCACACGUUCUCGCCGUGGGCAGGGGGUCCUGGGUGUGGAGGCAUCAUUUCAUUCAAUCCAUAAGUCAACACGAAUUUAGUGAGGACUUGCCAAGUGUUAGGUCCGGAUCCGGGUCCCUGGGAAGGCGUCCUUGUGGGACUGUAAGCUCCCCUGUCUUUCAAAAAGUGGUGAUUAACUCACACCCCUCACACAGCCCAGGUGAGCAACUGGGGGCAAGUCCUGAACUCACCUCCACGCCGACUCCCCACACCCACACUGCUCCCUGCACUGGCUGCCCUCUCUGCCUCGGCCGGCGAGGCUGGGGCGCCAUCUCCCCCUGUACCCCACUGGACUCCCCUUUCUCCUGGCCUUCGUGUUGCUUUCUGCUCUCAGGAGUCUCCUCCGUGGGCCGUUUCUGGGCAUCACAAGCUCCACUUUUCCUCUCGUCUCACUUCACGCUGCUGAGGGCCUCCUGGCCCAUCCACUUCUCUGUGUCUCCAUCAAGACUUGCUUCCACUGCCUUUUCUCAGUCACCUCAUCCUCCUUUUUUUCUGCUUUGCUUUUCUGUGUCUUCUCUUUACCAAACUGUUACACAGAACCAAAUAUGUUUGAAAAAAAAUAUUUGUGGGAUGAGCUUUUACAUUCUCUGGGUUUUACUCUUCAAGCCAGUUGAACAAUGUGUGUCCUACUCUGCAUCAUCUGGAAUUUUCUUACAAGAGUAGGAGGAGCUACUUACAACAUUUUAUUAACAUGGUACACACAGGAGUUCCUGUCGUGGCUCAGUGGUUAAUGAACCUGACUAGUAUCCAUGAGGAUGCAGGUUCGAUCCCUGGCCUCAGCGGGUUAAGGAUCUGGCAUUGCUGUGAGCUGUGGUGUAGGUUGCUGUGUGUGAGUGGCUCAGAUCCUGUGUUGCUGUGGCUGUGGUGGAGGCUGGCAGCUGUAGCUCUGAUUGGACCCCUAGCCUGGGAACUUCCAUGUGCCCAGGUGCAGUCUUAAAAAGCAAAAAAAAAAAAAGACAAAAGACAAAGAAUUAUUUCUUGAAGAAUGCUUAGGAGUUUACCAAACAAAGGAGAACAGGCUAAGCGAAAUAAAGCAUGUUGUACAGGUGCUGAGUCCUAUGAAGACCCGCUGUGUUCAGCACAGUGUGGGGAGAAGAGGCUGGAAAGGAUGGAGAAGGCAACUCCAAGGGCCUGAUAUGACUCGCACUCUCAGUGUUUGAAAAUGGAGCUAGAGAGAGCAGAUCAGAAAAGAGACUGGGAGGGAGGGAGAGCAGUCAGGAACCACCGGAGCCAUCCUGACCUGACGUGAUGAAGGCAUGGACCGAGGAAUUGCUGGUGGGAACGAGGAAGAGAGCUGCCCAAGAGAUAUUUCCCCAAAAGGCAACAGAGUCUGGCAACAGAACAGAUGUAAGGAAAGAGAGAGGCGAAGAAGGCCCCAAAGUAACUGAGAUGAGAUGGCAAGUUAAUGGAUAAAGUGGCCUCAGCAAAGGAUGCCGGGGGAGUGCCCGGAUUUCGUGUAACUCCAAGACAUCCAUGUAGAGAUGCAAAAGGCUGGCUGAAGGACACUAGUUGGGUUGCAGAGGUCAGGAGGGAAACAAACUAUCAGGAGAGCAAGGGGGAUGCCCAGGCAUAAACCACCCACACCAGUCGGCAGCGGAAGAAAGAAAAAUGGGGAGGCACCUGGCAGAUCGGGCCCAAGGUGUGUGUUUGCCAGAACUGACCUGUAUGGGGAUGGACACUGGAGGAAGGAGGAGAAAUUGGGGUACUUGAGGAGUCAGGUCCAUGAUGCAUAGCACCCCAUCAAAGAGGAAAGUUUACUUUCAGGAAUGAUAGGCAUUUCUUAAUGGUGACAGAUGUCUGAGGAAACUCACUCCCAAGGGCCCAGAUCCAGAUCAAACCCUCUAAAGCAGGUGCCGGGAAACUUCUUUUUAGGGCCACACUGCCGGCAUAUGGAAGUUCCCAGGCUAGGGAUCAAAUCAGAGCUGCAGCUGCCAGCCUAUAUCACAGCCACAGUAACACCAGAUCCAAGCCACAUCUGUGACCUACCCUGCAGCUUGUGGCAACACCAAAUCCUUAACUCACUGAGCAAGGCCAGGGAUUGAACCUGCAUCCUCAUGGAUUCUAGUCAGGUUCUUAACCUGCUAAGCCACAACAGGACCUCCCAGGAAACUUUUUCCAUAAAGAGCCAGAUAGUCAAUAUCUUAGGCUUUGAGUAACACGUGGCCUCUGUCACAGCCACUCCACUCUGCCAUUGCGGUGGGAAGGCAGCCACAAGCCACGCGUGAAUCAAUGGGCCUGGCUCUGUGCCAAUAAAGCUUUAUUUUCAAAAACAGGCAGUGGUUAUAAUGGUUAAUUUUAUUUCAUAUGAAUUUCACCCCCAUUUAAAAAACAACAGGCUCUGGGCUUGAUUGGGCACAUGGGACUAUAGUUUGCCAACACCUACCCUAGAGGUGAAGAAGCUGUUGAGGACUUAGGGUCUGGGCCAGCCUGCAUGGGACCGUGAACAAUGAAUGAUGUGAGUUCAAAUCCCAUAGGACCACUUACUAGCUAAAAACUUUCCCGAGCCUCAAUUUCUUCAUCUUUAAAAUGGGGGAAAUAACAACCCCUACCUCACUGAGUUUUUCUGAGGAUCAAAGGAGACAAUGCAUAUGGGUGUCGAGGAUAAUGCCUGGCUCAGUAAAGAUUUUCUUAUUUCUAAGGAUUUGACCAUGAAUCACAGGACCCCAGUUGCAGAUGGGAGCCCCGGUAGGCACCUCUCUAGCACCCUGAGAGGCAAGAACUGGAAGGAAUGGAGGUGGAGGCUGGGCUGAGAGGUCAGGGAGGGGCUGUACCAGCCAGUGGCAGAAAGGACAAAAUGUGUAUACCCAGGCCUGCAAAGAGACCCACAGCUGCAAACACAUACACAUCUGUGCACAGGAAGGUGGUGCAGCCCCCCUCACUGUUCUUAGUGGAAUGAUGUUCGGCAGUGCUUUGUCUCUGGCUCAUCAGUGUGGUCCAUGGGAGAGUGGCUCCCACAGUUUGGUUUGUCAGACCCCAGCAUGGGCCGGCAUGCCUCUCCAGCACACAGCAGAUGGAGCUCUGGUCUGGGACUGCUGCGGCUCAUCAGAGACCCUGGAGCUGAUGGAAAUGGGUCUCAGGCUCAGGUCAGCCCAAAACCUUUCCAUCUGUGCUCCUCAGAGUUUAGAAAAUCAGCUGGGGGAGGGGUUACUUUAAAAUGUAUGUCCUAGGAGUUCCCGUCGUGGCGCAGUGGUUAACGAAUCCAACUAGGAACCCUGAGGUUGCGGGUUCGAUCCCUGGCCUUGCUCAGUGGGUUAAUGAUCCGGCGUUGCCGUGAGCUGUGGUGUAGGUUGCAGACACGGCUCGGAUCCCGCGUUGCUGUGGCUCUGGCGUAGGCCGGUGGCUGCAGCUCUGAUUCGACCCCUAGCCUGGGAUCCUCCAUAUGCCGCGGGAGCGGCCCAAGAAAUAGAAACAACAACAACAACAACAACAAAUAAAUAAUUAAAUAAAUAAAAUAAAUAAAAUGUAUGUCCUAGAUCCCACCCAAGAAAUUCUGGUCUAGCACAUCUGGGAAGGGCCUGGGAAACUGCAUUUUAGCAAGCAUCCCCAGUCAUUUUUUCUAUCAGCUAAGUGUGAACCACAUUUUCAGAAAUAAAGCUUUACACCCUCACCUCUGAACGCAGCUGUACGAUGAAAUGAUGGGAUUCUCAAAUUUGUCCCUGGAACUGCAGCCAUCGAACAGGGUCUGCCCCUACUUCUUAUGCCUCCUCCUGUUGCUCACAAGGAAGAGAAGCUCAGGUUGGGUGUAUUGGGGUAACAGGAUUAAUUCUAAAAUAAACAUGAAGAUUUUCCAGGGCACUGUUUUUACCCAGGAAGGUAAAAAAAAGCCUGGAGAAGAGGCGAGCCAGGGUCCUCCGUCUAUAAGAAAAUGUGAUGAAUAAUUACUCUUCUCAAAACUUUCUGGGUGAACCAUCCAAGUGCAGCUUAUUCCAAGCCCAGUGUCCUUUCUUCCCAUCCAAGUGCAGCUUAUUCCAAGUCCAGUGUCCUUUCUUCCUGGCCGUCCAAGAAAUCUGGGCCCAUUUCCUGCCCCUUCACUCUAGAACACACCUACAAACUGAGCUGCAGACCACUGGGGGAGCAAUUGCUGUCUAUCAUCUAGUUUCACAGUUUCUGAAUAAAAAAAAAAAUGGCUCUGUACACUUUGCCAUUCAAUAAAUAACUGCUGAGUGACUGAAUGAAUCCAAGAUGAGUUGGGGGGGUGGAUGGGUGGGACAGGGUACAUAAAAAAUACUAAAAACCAUGAAUUGGGAUGGUUUAUAACUGAAGAUACAGCCCUAUUACCGAAGGUCUUUCACUCUGGUUGGGCAAAACGAGGCCAACAUAGAUCAUGAAUAAAAGAUGUGUGGAACCAAAACUAUAGAGUCGCUCACGACAUGUGCACACACAUGCUCUCGCUCUCUCACACACACAGUUUAUCUAAAUAAAUGCUGUUCUUCAAAUCAGCACCUUGAGAGGCCUUACAGAAUUAUCCCAGGGACCUGGUCAGUCCUCAGAACGUGUCAUGUCGGGAUCUCAUCUUGAGAUUCAGGAGUCAGUUUGCCUUAUGGUCACACUUCAUUUUCGACCCACAGAUGCCUUAAUUGAUCCUCUUGUUCCCAGAUUUGGGUCCACAUGAUUUCUGGUGAGUCCAGUCAUCAAAUGAAGCCUCAGAGGAUAAAAACUUGAAUUUAUGAGAAUGGUCAAAGGCUAUAAAGAGAAUACUGAAAAUGAGAUUCCAAGCAUCAUUUCAGGAACGGCAGAAUCGCUGGGUCAAAGGGGUCACAUCCAGCAGGAGACAGAGCUCUGAAAGGGGUGAUCAGGGCAGAUCAGGAGACUGCCCCACUACCCUCGGGGAAGAGCCCAGUCCAGCUGUUCUCAUCCUGAGCCCAGUGGCAGAAACUGGCCAGAUGCCCACCAAAACUGGUUCCUCAGCUUCCAGAGCACCCAGCUGGCCC
ensembl:lncRNA